rnacentral:lncRNA from 11 species
AGUAAAAUUAAUGAUGUCUAAGACAUUUCUUUGCAAUCUGGCAACUGGCUCAAUUACUUAAAUGCAACCACUUGGCUCAGUUAUGGGACUAUUUCAGAACUUGUGACCUGGAUAUGAUAUUUCUGAAGAAUAAAUAGGUUGCUUAUAAACAGGACAGCCAAGCAUUCUCUCAGACAUUCACUGAGCAUAAGAAGCAUGAACUGUCAGAAGUCAAAGAAUGUGCUUUGCCAAUUUCCUGUUCACGUUGACUAUCUGCAGGGAUCCCAAGAAAAUGGCUUACAGGAAGUCACCAGCAUCCUCUCCUUUGUUUCCCUGGAACCAAAGCACAAUAUUAAUGCAGACUGCUAACUGGAACCCCAGCACCACAUUUCCCCAAGUGAAUUAUGCCAGCCAUGGAGAGAGAAUGGAAAAAUGGUCAUCUCAUCAUUCUGCUCGCCUGUCAAGGAGAUGUGGAAAUGUGCUGGCAUUCCAGCUGAAGACAUCAUUAUGAGUGAGAAAAUGCUCAAGGUCCUUUUUCAAAGUGGGUGCCGAAAGAGAUGCUUUCCUUCUUUGACUUCGGGGAAGGCUGAGAGCUGCCCCAGAAGACAGGCAUUGAGAGGAUGCACAACAAAAGAAGAUGAUGAAGAUGAUGAAGAAAUCUAUAACAAAGGACAAUCAGCCUGCAGUGAGAGAAAUGAUUUUAAUAUCUGACAGGUUUUGUUUCCUAAUCUUUGCUAUUCAUAUUGACGGGUAGCUUCAUAUGUUUUACAGAUUUGUAUCUAUUAAGACAUGCUGCAGUGUUCCUACAACCUGGGAACAAGUGUGCUGGAGAUCAGUGUUCUUCUUCCUCUGUGAUAAAAAUUGAUAUGAACUGUUUUAAACUGCUAGCAGAUAAUUACUCUGAACACUCAAUAAAGAAAGCUAUAUCUUUAGAGCCUUCCUUUAUCUUUUUUUUUUUUUUUAAAAAUUCACUAUCCCCCCCUCUUUUGUUUCUUUGAUUACUUGGAGCCUUGUAAUCAAACUCAGCUUAGUUUCAGGACCCUUGGGGCAGUAUCUCUUAGUUCCCUGUCAAGCUGCGUUGCAAAACAAUCAAUCUUGCUCUGGCUCUCUCUUGGCGGAAGUGCCACGACACCAGGAGUGCAAUGCUUUGCUCUUGCCAUGAAGCCUCAAUGACAAAAGUUUUUAUAAGAAGCUGACUGUAUUUAGGGUUAUGAAUAUGCAAUGACUCUCAUUAGUAUUGAAGCACGGGAGCAAGGGCUGACAUCUCCCCUCCGCCACUUUGAGCUGCGGCAGAAUUGUCUAAUGAAUUGUCUUGCUCUUUCACUUGCACAGGCUUUCUCUGUUGUGGCUCCCAGUUCCAAGGGGAGUUGCCCAGUUUGAGCAUACUAUUGACUGCAGAAAUUAAUUGCCAAGAACUGCUCUUGAUUUUGUUAAACAAUCUUGUGACAGUGUUUAAAUUGUCAAAACAGAAAAUCAUUCCACUCCACGUGAGAUAAACUCAACCUGAGGGAGGGGACCCGUAUGUCAAUUAAUUUGGACACACACUUUGCUCAUAUGUACAUGUGUACGAUACAGGGAUUUACAUAUUUCUAUGUAUAUGGGGAAAUCCACAAAGACAGGCAAUUCCCCCCACCCCAAAAACCUCCUUUAAGAUCAACACUGGGUGUAAUCAAGUCAUACAUAUCUGACAUUCUAUUGGUGAGGCACUUUGUCUUCUCAGUAGAACAAAGAGGGAUGACAGAAUGAUCUCCAAAUAGAAGCUAUUCAUACAGCACAAAGCUAUUUUGUGAACUCUUUAGGACUCUUUCUCACACAUUCCUCCCUUUCCCAUCCUAGUCCCUACCCACCAUUUAGUGCUUAAUACACACACAAUCUAACACAAAUGUGAUAUCAAUAACACUAUGUACCACAAUUUUUGUUCCUGGCUUAUAAAUGUCGUUUUGUAACUGCAAAAACUUUGCUUUUGUGGGACAUCCUGAAGCACAUUCAGCUAUAGUUUUUCAAUGAGUAUCUCUAUCUCAAGUCUCAACCAAGUCAACAUAGUUUGUGGCAGCCACAAAAACGAAGUUUCUGGAGUAUAAUAACUACUUUCAAAUACACACCACACAAUUAAACAAGAAUAACACUUUCAAACUAGGAACAGAUUUUUCUUAUUUUGUUACAUAGUGUACUAAUAAGGUUUCCAAUAACUGAUAAUAGCUGCCUUGAUGUGUAGUAUAUGAGAAGCAAAACAUGCCCAGUUGCGUAUCUCAGCUGGGUAAAUUAAAUUCUUCAAUUCUUGUUAUAGCUCCUUUUCCUCCUCUCCCUCCCUCUUUAAAAUACAAAGAAAGUUUGGUGCUUUAUUGCAGGCUGCACUGAUAGGAAAAGCUCAAAAUGAAUAAGCUCUUCUCAAGAGGAAAAAGUAUGAGAGGGAAUGAAAUUAAGAAUACUUUACGGGAAAGCAGUCAGUACAGAUGCUCCUUAUUUCACUGGAUAUAUGAAACUAGUUAUACCAGAAGGAGAAAGAGCUGUUAACGUCAAUACACUGAGAAUGGGAAGGGAAAAAUAAGAUCUUUGCUUGUCUCUCACUCCAACUAUUUCAGUGUUCAGAUUCAUAUUUCCAUCUUCUGUGGAACCUCCAUAUAGAUGAGAACAGUUGAAGAACAAACACAGUUCUGACAAAAGUGGUGCAAGUAUCAUACAUCAAACACUUGUUACCUCGCUUGGCCUUAGCAAUUGCACAUGACUAAGAACAAGGCAGUGAUAAAAUCUGAAGAAAGAUGAAACCAAUCUGGGCCUUUUUAAAGACCAUCAAUCAUUCUGUGCAACCAUGAUAUUAUUAGCUAAAACUGAGCCUUGUUCUCCUGUUUAAUGGACAUUGUAAACCCCAUCCCAUUUCUAUCCUGAGACCAAUGCUACCAUGGGAAAUCAUUUUUAUGGGCAAUAUCUUCAUAGGGAACCAAUCAGAUCUAAUCAGAUAACAAGCUACUGAAUUAUUCAGUAUUCUCCCUAAAUUUGCAUUCUAGCUGUUCUUUGCUGUCAGUACCUACUUCUAGAAGUAUGUGAAUUUUUACUCCACUACCCAUUAUGUUAAGAUGACAGUGAAUGUGGGGAUUUUUCAUAAUCUGUAUAUUUUAUAACUAUCAUUGGUUUGCAUGCAUGGUUACCACAUGUUAAUAAUCAUGUAAAAAUAUUUGGUUCCUGUUUUUUAAUGCACUGCUAUUAAAUUCUUACUAUUCCCAGAUGUAAAACCAGCAGGCCCAAGCACAGGAAAGUGAAACCAUUGUUUUGGAUAUGUAAAAUGUCAAAAUGUACAGUACUACGCAAAUAAUCACCAGUAUUCCUGAUGGAUAUUUCUGUGAAUCUGGAAUUUUAUUAUAUGAAAAUAUUUCAAUUUUAAUUGCAAAUCUUGGUAGAGAUGAUUUGAGGCCUGUAAUUAGCACAUAAAUUCCAGACUUUGUGACUAGUGUGAAAACAUAUAGUAUUUAUGGAACGAUUAUCUAAAUAUAAUGCAGUGUUUUCUGUUUUUAGUGAAUACUGUAAAGUCUGAUUUAAUAAAGAGAAGAACUGCUAUUUCAUGGGUUUUUAAUCUUACAGCAUCAGCUCAUUCUACCCGCUACCGAUUUGAGACAACAUUGUUUUAAACUUUUUCAUCAACAGCAUAAACAGUAGAAGCUUAGAGUCUUGAAAACAAAAAAAAAACCCCUGCAUCCAUCAGAGUAAUUUUGCUAGUGCAAAGUGGUACUACUCUUUGUGGAAACUUCCAUUUUUACUCUUCUUUAAUUGUGAAGUCCAACUCUUUUGUGUUUGUACAAGCCACUGGGCAAGUUGUUUCACAAGCUGCUCACAAUCCAUUCUGCAGAUUGUUCCGCAAAUUAUUUCACAAGCCAUUUCAUAAGCUGCUGCACAAACCAUUGCAUAGCUAAUAGGCUUUCUUUGAUGCAUGUGUUGCAUGUACAUAGUAUUAGAAGUUGUGCAAGCACUAGAAGGACAAUGCAAACCCUUCUACUUUUUCGAGUGUACAACAUUGGAUGCAACCUGGAGAUUUCAUUUAGGAUAAUGCUACAAUCAACAGCUAAAAGCAACAGGCCAACUGUUUUAAUAUGUGACUAUAUAUUUGAAAUAGUUCUAUUUUUUAUCAACUGCAUUUCAACUAUGUUGUAACUCAUCUCGAGCCUUGGGGAGUGGCGGGUAAGAAAUAAAAUUUAU